rnacentral:rRNA from 1 species
UACGUAGGCGGAAAAUUAAGUCAGUAGUGAAAUCCUGCAGCUUAACUGUAGAAUUGUUAUUGAUACUGGUUUUCUUGAAUAUAGUUGAGGUAAGCGGAAUGUGUAAUGUAGCGGUGAAAUGCUUAGAUAUUACACAGAACACCGAUUGCGAAGGCAGCUUACUAAGCUAUGAUUGACGCUGAGGUACGAAAGCGUGGGGAGCGAACAGGAUUAGAUACCCUGGUAGUC